CUUCCAACAUCCCCACCGCUCGCAACGGGAACGGGCCGUGGUCGCCCCCGGAUCCCGGCCGCCACAUACAUCUCUCCCCACCACGACUCCGCUCCGUUCGUCUUCGAACAGCGGCACAACGGCAACGGGUUACGCUCUGGCCUGGCUCGAAAGCUGCUUGAUGUUUUGCCACACACGAUUUGAUUGGAUUGUAUGUGCUGCUUUCUCAAGCCCCUCCGAUUUGAUUGGGUUUCGACUGGAUUCUGCAGGUGCUGCAAACUGGUUUAUAUACAAUGUAAUCUGACUGAUUAAUGCAUGGUAUACGUACUUCACACCAUAGAGACUUCAGCUGGUAAUUUGAUGAUCAACUAUCUUGCUAUUUUACACAACCUGUUUUUCCGUGUCUACUUAUUGCCCGCAGGUGAAUUUUGAAAACGUCAUUUCUUAUGGCAGGGAGUCUUUUUUUAGAGGAAAUCCA